rnacentral:rRNA from 1 species
CUAAUUUGCGGGGGGCUUGACGGUACCGACGAAGGAAGCACCGGCUAACUCCGUGCCAGCAGCCGCGGUAAUACGGAGGGUGCAAGCGUUGUUCGGAAUUAUUGGGCGUAAAGGGCGCGUAGGCGGUCUGUUAAGUCUGGUGUGAAAGCCCGGGGCUCAACCCCGGAAGUGCAUUGGAUACUGGGAGGCUUGAGUAUGGGAGAGGAAAGUGGAAUUCCGGGUGUAGGGGUGAAAUCCGUAAAUAUCCGGAGGAACACCAGUGGCGAAGG